rnacentral:rRNA from 1 species
UACGUAGGGUGCGAGCGUUAAUCGGAAUUACUGGGCGUAAAGCGUGCGCAGGCGGUUCGUUGUGUCGGUGGUGAAAUCCCCGGGCUUAACCUGGGAAUGGCCAUGGAAACUGGCGAACUGGAGUGCGGCAGAGGGGGGUGGAAUUCCGCGUGUAGCAGUGAAAUGCGUAGAGAUGUGGAGGAACACCGAUGGCGAAGGCAGCCCCCUGGGCCGACACUGACGCUCAGGCACGAAAGCGUGGGGAGCAAACAGG